rnacentral:rRNA from 1 species
ACGAACGCUGGCGGCAUGCCUAACACAUGCACGUCGAACGAGACCUUCGGGUCUAGUGGCGCACGGGUGCGUAACGCGUGGGAACCUGCCCUUAGGUUCGGAAUAACUCCCCGAAAGGGGUGCUAAUACCGGAUAAUGUCUUCGGACCAAAGAUUUAUCGCCUUUGGAUGGGCCCGCGUUGGAUUAGCUGGUUGGUAGGGUAAAAGCCUACCAAGGCGACGAUCCAUAGCUGGUCUGAGAGGAUGAUCAGCCACACUGGGACUGAGACACGGCCCAGACUCCUACGGGAGGCAGCAGUGGGGAAUAUUGGACAAUGGGCGAAAGCCUGAUCCAGCAAUGCCGCGUGAGUGAUGAAGGCCUUAGGGUUGUAAAGCUCUUUUACCCGGGAUGAUAAUGACAGUACCGGGAGAAUAAGCUCCGGCUAACUCCGUG